UAAAGUGAUAGGUCUCGCUAUCCCAUGAUGACGAUACAAGAUAUUCCCGUUCCAGAGCAUGAAUCUGGUGGCUAGAUAUGACUUUGCUCAUGUUUCUUCCACCUUUGAUGAUCUUUCCUUGUUCUUCAAUGAACAUGGAUGAAGGGAAUAUGUUCUGAGUGGA
rnacentral:snoRNA from 8 species